UACGGAGGGUGCAAGCGUUGUCCGGAUUUACUGGGCGUAAAGGGCGCGUAGGCGGCAAUUCAAGUCAUCUGUGAAAUCUCCGGGCUUAACUCGGAACGGUCAGAUGAUACUGCUUUGCUAGAGUACAGAAGGGGCAAUCGGAAUUCUUGGUGUAGCGGUGAAAUGCGUAGAUAUCAAGAGGAACACCUGAGGUGAAGACGGGUUGCUGGGCUGAUACUGACGCUGAGGCGCGAAAGCUAGGGUAGCAAACGGG
rnacentral:rRNA from 1 species